GACGAACGCUGGCGGCGUGCCUAAUACAUGCAAGUAGAACGCUGAAGAGAGGAGCUUACUCUUCUUGGAUGAGUUGCGAACGGGUGAGUAACGCGUAGGUAACCUGCCUUGUAGCGGGGGAUAACUAUUGGAAACGAUAGCUAAUACCGCAUAACAAUGGAUGACACAUGUCAUUUAUUUGAAAGAGGCAAUUGCUCCACUACAAGAUGGACCUGCGUUGUAUUAGCUAGUAGGUGAGGUAAUGGCUCACCUAGGCGACGAUACAUAGCCGACCUGAGAGGGUGAUCGGCCACACUGGGACUGAGACACGGCCCAGACUCCUACGGGAGGCAGCAGUAGGGAAUCUUCGGCAAUGGGGGCAACCCUGACCGAGCAACGCCGCGUGAGUGAAGAAGGUUUUCGGAUCGUAAAGCUCUGUUGUAAGUCAAGAACGGGUGUGAGAGUGGAAAGUUCACACUGUGACGGUAGCUUACCAGAAAGGGACGGCUAACUACGUG
rnacentral:rRNA from 1 species